GAUGAGCUGAGAGAAAUGAGCCUCCAUUUUUGCAGAACUCCUCUUAUUCUUCCUAUUUCGCCGGCGGCUUAUGAUGUUGCCUUUUGUUGUUUCCGAAUAAACAGCAGCAGUUUGCCAAGUUCUCACAGAGAAUCCUGUUUCCUAGCAACCAGCAGUGUGGAUGAGUGGACGUCAUCAUGUGAGAGUCUAGUGGGUAAACAGCUGAGAAAAAAGCACCUACCAAGGAUCAAGCUUGUUUCCAUUGUGAUUACGCUUGUGAUUAUUUCUCAGUCCGUUGCUUCUUGGUAACUAUUAAUCUAUAAAUCAAUAUUUUAAAUAUUUGUAAUCUAACAGCAUGACAGCUUGUACCACCACACUGGCACAGUUAAAAUGUUAUUGCAUGACUGAUAGAUCAUGAAUAGUAGUCAAUAUCCAAGUGCUCAUCCAUUUCAUUUACUUAUAAUUCAGGCAUUUUGUAAGGUCUUUGUCAUAGAAUCACACACAUUUUAAUCAUAUUGUAAGAAGUACCUUUGUGUAAGUAGCUGAAAUGUCUCCCUUCCAGCCAUUAACAAUAUACAAGAUGAGAGAAAUGCAAAUUAUGAAGCAAUUUGUUUUUAUAAUGUGAUUUUUAUAUGAAAUACUUAUAAAUAUAAAUAACUGUAGUGUGAGGUUUUUACAAGAAUAGGUACAGACCAAGGUCAGGCUGGGGAGCAUGCACGGGUACCGCGCAUCACCGCACCCACCACACGAUGAAACUGGGGAUCCCAGCUGGCGACCACCCUCCGGAAAUGGAUGUAUCUGCCACAGCCAGGUGUUACAUGGGCGUCCCCUUGGCCUGGUCCAGCCACUCAGCAGUGAAGAUCUUGCAAGCCGGAUCCCCCUCAGGGAAUCACGCGAAGUGGUUCCUGUACAGGCCGGCCAUGAUGUCCAGUAACUUCGGGGGAUCCUGUGAAGACUGACGAUGUCCCACGGGGCAACUUGAUCAACUGGGUCGAGUUACUGCAGUUACUGCAGUCCAGACGAACACCCUUCCCUUUCCAGAUAAGGACAACAAGUCCUGUUAUCCAGUCAGUUGGGGCAGAAAAAAAUGAAUCUUUUUUUAAACCUCAUUAGACUUUGGCUUUUUUCCCUGAAUUUGAUUUUGCAAACUAAUUCCCUAAGCAGAAAUGUUCUGCAAGAACAUUUGAAAAAACUGUGAUGACAUAAAAAAAAAUAACUGAAACCAUUAA